GCAACGCCGCGUGGGUGAUGAAGGUCUUCGGAUUGUAAAGCCCUGUNUUCUGGGACGAUAAUGACGGUACCAGAGGAGGAAGCCACGGCUAACUACGUGCCAGCAGCCGCGGUAAUACGUAGGUGGCGAGCGUUGUCCGGAUUUACUGGGCGUAAAGGGUGCGUAGGCGGAUGUUUAAGUGGGAUGUGAAAUCCCCGGGCUUAACCUGGGGGCUGCAUUCCAAACUGGAUAUCUAGAGUGCAGGAGAGGAAAGCGGAAUUCCUAGUGUAGCGGUGAAAUGCGUAGAGAUUAGGAAGAACACCAGUGGCGAAGGCGGCUUUCUGGACUGUAACUGACGCUGAGGCACGAAAGCGUGGGUAGCAAACAGGAUUAGAUACCCUGGUAGUCCACGCCGUAAACGAUGGAUACUAGGUGUAGGGGGUAUCAACUCCCCCUGUGCCGCAGUUAACACAAUAAGUAUCCCGCCUGGGGAGUACGGUCGCAAGAUUAAAACUCAAAGGAAUUGACGGGGGCCCGCACAAGCAGCGGAGCAUGUGGUUUAAUUCGAAGCAACGCGAAGAACCUUACCUGGACUUGACAUCCCUUGCAUAGCCUAGAGAUAGGUGAAGCCCUUCGGGGCAAGGAGACAGGUGGUGCAUGGUUGUCGUCAGCUCGUGUCGUGAGAUGUUAGGUUAAGUCCUGCAACGAGCGCAACCCUUGUUAUUAGUUGCUACCAUUAAGUUGAGCACUCUAAUGAGACUGCCUGGGUAACCAGGAGGAAGGUGGGGAUGACGUCAAAUCAUCAUGCCCCUUAUGUCCAGGGCUACACACGUGCUACAAUGGUAGGUACAAUAAGACGCAAGACCGUGAGGUGGAGCAAAACUUAUAAAACCUAUCUCAGUUCGGAUUGUAGGCUGCAACUCGCCUACAUGAAGCUGGAGUUGCUAGUAAUCGCGAAUCAGAAUGUCGCGGUGAAUACGUUCCCGGGCCUUGUACACACCGCCCGUCACACCAUGAGAGCUGGUAACACCCGAAGUCCGUGAGGUAACCGUAAGGAGCCAGCGGCCGAAGGUGGGAUUAGUGAUUGGGGUGAAGUCGUAACAAGGUAGCCGUAGGAGAACCUGCGGCUGGAUCACCUCCUU
rnacentral:rRNA from 1 species